AAAUUGAAGAGUUUGAUCAUGGCUCAGAUUGAACGCUGGCGGCAGGCCUAACACAUGCAAGUCGAGCGGUAGCACAGAGAGCUUGCUCUCGGGUGACGAGCGGCGGACGGGUGAGUAAUGUCUGGGAAACUGCCUGAUGGAGGGGGAUAACUACUGGAAACGGUAGCUAAUACCGCAUAACGUCGCAAGACCAAAGUGGGGGACCUUCGGGCCUCAUGCCAUCAGAUGUGCCCAGAUGGGAUUAGCUAGUAGGUGGGGUAACGGCUCACCUAGGCGACGAUCCCUAGCUGGUCUGAGAGGAUGACCAGCCACACUGGAACUGAGACACGGUCCAGACUCCUACGGGAGGCAGCAGUGGGGAAUAUUGCACAAUGGGCGCAAGCCUGAUGCAGCCAUGCCGCGUGUAUGAAGAAGGCCUUCGGGUUGUAAAGUACUUUCAGCGGGGAGGAAGGCGUAAGNNNNNNNNNNNNNNNNNNUGACGUUACCCGCAGAAGAAGCACCGGCUAACUCCGUGCCAGCAGCCGCGGUAAUACGGAGGGUGCAAGCGUUAAUCGGAAUUACUGGGCGUAAAGCGCACGCAGGCGGUCUGUCAAGUCGGAUGUGAAAUCCCCGGGCUCAACCUGGGAACUGCAUUCGAAACUGGCAGGCUAGAGUCUUGUAGAGGGGGGUAGAAUUCCAGGUGUAGCGGUGAAAUGCGUAGAGAUCUGGAGGAAUACCGGUGGCGAAGGCGGCCCCCUGGACAAAGACUGACGCUCAGGUGCGAAAGCGUGGGGAGCAAACAGGAUUAGAUACCCUGGUAGUCCACGCCGUAAACGAUGUCGAUUUGGAGGUUGUGCCCUUGAGGCGUGGCUUCCGGAGCUAACGCGUUAAAUCGACCGCCUGGGGAGUACGGCCGCAAGGUUAAAACUCAAAUGAAUUGACGGGGGCCCGCACAAGCGGUGGAGCAUGUGGUUUAAUUCGAUGCAACGCGAAGAACCUUACCUGGUCUUGACAUCCACAGAACUUUCCAGAGAUGGAUUGGUGCCUUCGGGAACUGUGAGACAGGUGCUGCAUGGCUGUCGUCAGCUCGUGUUGUGAAAUGUUGGGUUAAGUCCCGCAACGAGCGCAACCCUUAUCCUUUGUUGCCAGCGGUCCGGCCGGGAACUCAAAGGAGACUGCCAGUGAUAAACUGGAGGAAGGUGGGGAUGACGUCAAGUCAUCAUGGCCCUUACGACCAGGGCUACACACGUGCUACAAUGGCAUAUACAAAGAGAAGCGACCUCGCGAGAGCAAGCGGACCUCAUAAAGUAUGUCGUAGUCCGGAUUGGAGUCUGCAACUCGACUCCAUGAAGUCGGAAUCGCUAGUAAUCGUAGAUCAGAAUGCUACGGUGAAUACGUUCCCGGGCCUUGUACACACCGCCCGUCACACCAUGGGAGUGGGUUGCAAAAGAAGUAGGUAGCUUAACCUUCGGGAGGGCGCUUACCACUUUGUGAUUCAUGACUGGGGUGAAGUCGUAACAAGGUAACCGUAGGGGAACCUGCGGUUGGAUCACCUCCUUA
rnacentral:rRNA from 1 species